rnacentral:siRNA from 1 species
GAGGUGUUAUACCACACUG